CUUUGCAUACACGAAAGUGUGACAGGGCCUAUCCCGAGUGCCAUCCGCUGAGGAAGGCUUUUACCCAGUCUAGAAAGCUGGGGGAAUAAGGAGAGGGCAAGUCUGGUGUCAGCCGCCGCGGUAAUACCAGCUCUUCGAGUGGUGUGGAUGUUUAUUGGGCCUAAAGCAUCCGUAGCUGGCUAGGUAAGUCCCUUGUUAAAUCCACCGAAUUAAUCGUUGGAUCGCGGGGGAUACUGCUUGGCUAGGGGACGAGAGAGGCAGACGGUAUUUUCGGGGUAGGGGUGAAAUCCUAUAAUCCCGGGAAGACCACCAGUGGCGAAGGCUGUCUGCUAGAACGCGCCCGACGGUGAGGGAUGAAAGCUGGGGGAGCGAACCGGAUUAGAUACCCGGGUAGUCCCAGCUGUAAACGAUGCAGACUAGGUGUUUGNACGGCCACGUGCCGUUCUAGUGCCGCAGGGAAGCUGUUAAGUCUGCCGCCUGGGGAGUACGAUCGCAAGAUUGAAACUUAAAGGAAUUGCGGGGGGARACCAA
rnacentral:rRNA from 1 species